CGCGUAGGUGGUCAGGCAGGUCAAGGGUGAAAGCCCCCGGCUCAACCGGGGAUCCGCCUUUGAAACCACCUGGCUGGAGCGGAACAGGGGAGAGUGGAACUCGUGGUGGAGCGGUGAAAUGCGUAGAUAUCACGAGGAACGCCGGUGGUGAAGACGACUCUCUGGGUUCCUGCUGACGCUGAGGCGCGAAAGCUGGGGGAGCAAACGGGAUUAGAUACCCCGGUAGUCCCAGCCGUAAACGAUGAGCACUAGGUAGGAGCGGUACCCAAUCCGUUCCUGCCGGAGAAAACUCGCUAAGUGCUCCGCCUGGGGAGUACGGCCGCAAGGUUGAA
rnacentral:rRNA from 1 species